CUGGCCCCUUGCUGAAAAAGGUUGCUGACUCCUGAGCUAGAGCUCUUUCCCAGCUGUGAAUACUAUGGAACCUGGCAUGCAGCUGAAUCUGUAAAACCACAAGUAUCCAUUCUUUAAAGAAGACGUUUCUAGUCAUCAUCACUAAAUAGAAAAUUUGGAAAGGAACGGGCAGAAGUGUAUAUUUAAUCUAAUUCAGGCAAGUUCUCUCCAUGUAAUGUGAAGUGUUUGUAUAAUUUGGGAUUUCCCUCCAUUCUGUGCAGUACUGCAGCUCUUCUGGAACCAACUUUGUUUUAAGAUACGAUAGAAAGGAGAUGUUGUAAAGCAGUAGGUAGAGUACAUGCAUUUCAUGCAGAAAUGUUCCAGGUUCAAACUUCCCCCAUGCCCCAGAGUGCACCUCCAGUAAACGGAUUUCAAGCAUCAGAAACAGAAAAGACUAGAUGGACAAGAGUCUGAAUCAAUGUAAGGCCUUGUUAUGCUGUCCAUCUGCACUAUGAUGCGACUGAGACGAGAUUGGAUUGCUAGAAAGAUAAAACUACAAGCCACAGUCAAAACAUGAUGCAUGAAGAAUGGCACAGUGGAAACCAGCCAAAACGGCUCAGACUAAUCAACCAUAAAGCGUAAAAGAAAGAUGGCAAAUUGAAGCAGCUUGUUUGCAUAAGAUCUCUAAUUGCAGAUAUAGGAAAAGGCGAGUAGCAAUAUCCUAUUUCUAUGGCUGCUCACCCAGAUGCCAGUUAUAAUUAACUGCCAUUUUAAAUGUCUUUUGCUCUUUAAACCAUGUAAGAAAAAGAGCACUUUAACUAUCGACAGCAGCCUUUCUCAUGGGGCAUAUGCAAGAGGAUGAAAAUCAUCCAACAUUAGAACAGUCAUGAGUUCUACGCCAUUCGUUACUUAAACCUGGGUUGCUUCUUGCGUGUGGAGAACCUCCAUAUCCCCCCAAACACAGGUAUAUUAUAUUCAUGUUAUCCCAACGAAAAUAUGCAGAGCCUGUUUGCAGCUAUAUGUAUCGAUGCAGAGAUUUUGACUUCACCAGUGGGAAAGCACGUCUCUCCAUUAGGCCUGCUCUUCCCUCAACUGACAUCUGGGGCCAGCCACUCCAUCAGGCUACCUAUCUUCUCAGUGGGAGAGAUAGGAAGCAGAAGGUACAUUUCAUUAGCUUUGCUGGAGCCCCAGCUCCAUCAGGCACUUCCUGCCCCUGAACUGUGCCAGCUGGUCAUUACGGGAAUAACUGUUUAGAAACUGGUGCCUGAGUUUUGAUUUUUAUUAUCCUUUUCCCCUUGUGUGUCAUGUUGUGUUUUUUUAGAUUGUGAGCCUGCGGGUAGGGACUGUCUUGUUUUGAUUGUAUGUAAGCUGCUCUGGGAACCUUUUUGGCUGAAGAACGGGAGCAAAUGCUUUGAAUAAAUAAAUAAAGCACUAUCAGCUUGCCAUGGCCUUCACCACCCUAGGAAAUGAAUGCUUUUUGAAGAUGCUAGACAAUCCCUGAUAGCAGAUCUCAGGCCUGGUAGUACAGCAGAUACCAGGGUUCAAGGAAGUUCAUAAUGUAAGGUCUCUUCCUGUCAUAUUAAAGGUAAAGGUGAAGGACCCCUGACAGUUAAGUCCAGUCACCAACGACUCUGGGGUUGUGGCGCUCAUCUCACUUUACUGGCCGAGGAAGCUGACGUUUGUCUGCAGACAGUUUUUCCGGGUCAUGUGGCCAGCAUGACUAAACCACUUCUGGCGAAACCAGAGCAGCGCACGGAAACGCUGUUUACCUUCCCACCGGAGCAGUACCUAUUUAUCUACUUGCACUUUGACGUGCUUUUGAACUGCUAGGUUGGCAGGAGCUGGGACCGAACAACGGGAGCUCACCCUGUCGUGGGGAUUUGAACCGCCAACCUUCCGAUCGGCAAGCCUAAGGCUCAGUGGUUUACACCACAGCACCACCGGCGUCCCUUUAGCGCCACCUGUCAUAUUAAGUUAUGCCAAUCUUUUUACUCAUGCCAUGAUCUACAGUAAUUUCCAGCAAAGUUCAGAUUGGCACACUCCUAUGUGCAAAGUCUAGGGCGGUCCCCACAGCUCUCGGCAUGUUGACAUCCAUCUGGCUUGGGAAACAGCACCUGCUGUGGCUGUAGAGACUGAUACAGGAGAGACAUGUUUUGUUGCAGCUGGGGCAGAUGAACAGCUGUACUGCUGCAGAUGCACCGUGGAGUUUCUGCUGUCUGUGCUCCUCCCAGCAGUCAUUCCUCUUUUGGUCACUGCUGUGGAUACACAACCUGACUGUCAGUGCUGCCUGUGUUGUAACAGCACCUGCGUGUUGCAUUCUGUACAACUUAAAGCAUAAUAAUGCUCCCCGCAUCCUUGAUAGGUGUUCACAUCUCUCCCCUCCUCCACUCGCCAUGUUGUCCUUCAUACUAGGAAAUGAGUAGUAUGUUUAGUUAGCUCAAGUCAGCACCCCCACAGGCCAGUUUAUGCUGCAUAAGGAAGGCAUAUGUGGGCUGUGCUUUAAGAAGGGAAUGUUUAAAGUUGAAUAGCAGCCUGAGGGCAGAAGAAGCUGCCUGUGAAUUUCCCCCCUGCUCAUUUGCUAACUAAGAUUACAUGUCAUUCCCCACAAGCUCGGGCCAAGAGGGACACUUGUUUCCAUGAGUCACACACAGCAAAUGUGGGUCGUUUGUGAUGAGAAGCCUGAUGAAAGCGAAGCUUUGCACUACAGGCAGCAACAAGGGAGCUCCUUUAACACUUCUGGGAGGACCUGUUAACAUGAGGAAGAUGGCCUCUCCAUCCUGCAACUGCCAGUGUAGGGCUUUCUGAGAACCAUUUUGCCUUGAAGGGAAAGAGAGAAAGAUGGGAAUGACAGCACAGAGAGCUGCCCAUUACCUGCUUGCAAAGGUUCCAGGAAUAGCCAACAUGGUGAACUCCAGAUAGUAAACAUGAGAGCAACACUGGAUCAGGCCAAAAGCAGGAAGGACAGGGCCAUCGCGGCUAGUAUCUGCUGAUAGCUUUAUCCUAUUAAUUUGUCUAAUCCUCCCUUAAAGCCAUCCUAGUCGCUGGCCAUCAUUACCUCCUGUGGGAGAGUGGUCAGUGGUCAGGAGUGAUGGGAGCUGAAGUCAAACAACACCAACAUCUGGAAGGCGCCACCUGGCCACCAUUGCCCUAUGGCAACAAACCACCUGUACGUGACCAUAUAUUUAACUAUACAAAAUACAGUCCUCCCAGGAAAAGGGAAUCUAGCAGGCUAAGCUUAACCUAUUUAGCAGCCUCUUUUCACAACCAGAGUUACAGGGUUGCCAGAAUCCUUGAGACACUAUGCUAUACCUACCUUCUCAGCUGGGAUUUCCAGGUCAAGAGUCUGAUGUGGCUAUUCUGAUGAGCUCUUGAAAUAAUGCAGUUUACUCAUUACCUUUCAAAAGCUUGGGUGUCUGUUUUCUACAAACACUGCUGGCUUGUUGCUUUGGGGUUUAUCUGUCACAUUCAUCACACAAUCCCCAUUCAUAUUUCAUGAUUUAUUACCCUACACAGAAGUGCUUUCUGUGUAUGAAACACAGCAUGUGAGGCCAUCCUCAGUUGAAAGUCUGGUCUUGUUUGAAGAGAGGUUUUCCUAAGCCCCUAAUAACAUCUUUCCUUACUUUUACUCUUAGUAGAUCUGACAGAUAUUACUUAUAAUUUAUAUUUCCUAAUCUAACAUAUGGUGACACUUUGCUUCCCAAUAGCCGAUUGACAUUUUUUAAUGUUUCUCUUGGACUGUUGCCUAAGUACAUUUGCAAAUAGUUUAGUGCUCAGCUUAAAAUGAAUUCACUCCCAGAAUUCCAUUUGCAAUCUAUUAUUUAUGGUUUACAGAUGUUAAGAUCAAAAAGAAA